UACGAAGGGGGCUAGCGUUGCUCGGAAUGACUGGGCGUAAAGGGCGCGUAGGCGGCUUGCACCGUCAGAUGUGAAAUUCCUGGGCUUAACCUGGGGGCUGCAUUUGAUACGUGUGGGCUUGAGUGCGGAAGAGGGUCGUGGAAUUCCCAGUGUAGAGGUGAAAUUCGUAGAUAUUGGGAAGAACACCGGUGGCGAAGGCGGCGACCUGGUCCGUGACUGACGCUGAGGCGCGAAAGCGUGGGAGCAAACAGG
rnacentral:rRNA from 1 species